GACGAAGGGGGCUAGCGUUGUUCGGAAUUACUGGGCGUAAAGCGCGUGUAGGCGGUUGGGCAAGUCGGGUGUGAAAGCCUUGAGCUCAACUCAAGAAAUGCACUCGGUACUGGGUGACUAGAGGACCGGAGAGGAUAGUGGAAUUCCCAGUGUAGUGGUGAAAUACGUAGAGAUUGGGAAGAACACCAGUGGCGAAGGCGGCUAUCUGGACGGUUUCUGACGCUAAGACGCGAAAGCGUGGGGAGCAAACAGG
rnacentral:rRNA from 1 species